rnacentral:misc_RNA from 1 species
CGAGGGCCACUGGGGACGUAAGCUGUACGGGGCGAGUGUAGCUCCACCACCGCCUCCGCCUCAUCACCACCCGCGGGCGCCUCUCGUUUUCGCGCCUCAGGACAUGAGGCAGAUACUCAAGGAGGAACCGGUGCCACGUGCUUGGCCACAGCCCGCGCUCGCCGACAACGGAACGGUCGGCGUCGGCAGGGCGCACUUCGAAAAACAACCACCGAGUAAUUUGAGAAAAAGUAACUUCUUCCAUUUCGUGAUCGCUCUUUACGAUCGACACGGACAACCGAUCGAGAUAGAGAGGACUUCUUUCAUGGGUUUCGUCGAAAAAGAUCAGGAAUCCGAAGGACAGAAAACGAACAAUGGCAUUCAAUAUAGCCUGCAUCUGUUGUACUCCAACGGUGUUAGGCAGGUACAGGACAUCUACGUGAGGCUCAUCGACUCUGCGACCAAACAGGCUAUCAUGUACGAGGGACAAGAUAAAAAUCCUGAAAUGUGUAGGGUCCUUCUUACUCACGAAGUGAUGUGCAGCCGGUGUUGCGACAAGAAGAGCUGCGGAAACAGGAACGAGACCCCGAGCGAUCCCGUUAUCAUCGACCGAUUCUUCCUCAAAUUCUUCCUAAAGUGCAACCAGAACUGCCUUAAGAAUGCGGGCAAUCCACGUGACAUGAGACGUUUCCAGGUGGUCAUUUCCACGCAAGUAGGAGUAGAGGGACCGCUACUGGCCGUCUCGGACAACAUGUUCGUUCACAACAACAGCAAACACGGACGUAGAACGAAACGAUUGGAUCCCAGUGAUCCUGGAGAAUAUAACAGUCUUUAUACGCCAGUACCUCUUCAAACGCCGUGUAUAAAAGCGAUAUCGCCGAACGAAGGGUGGACAUCCGGCGGAUCGACAGUGAUAAUCAUUGGGGAGAAUUUCUUCGAUGGGCUUCAAGUUGUUUUUGGAUCGAUGUUGGUUUGGAGCGAGCUAAUUACACCAAAUGCGAUCAGAGUACAAACUCCUCCGCGACAGAUACCAGGCGUCGUUGAAGUCACGUUAUCCUAUAAAACUAAACAAUUCUGUAAAGGCGCACCUGGUAGAUUCGUCUACGUUUCAUUGAACGAACCCACGAUCGAUUACGGCUUCCAAAGGUUACAGAAGCUUAUUCCCCGGCAUCCUGGAGAUCCUGAAAAACUACCAAAAGAGAUCAUAUUGAAAAGGGCGGCCGAUCUUGCGGAAGCUUUGUACAGUAUGCCCAGAAGCGGAAACGCCGGAAUUACGGGAGCACCGAGAAGUCCGGGAUCGGGUCAUCCACCUGCACCUCCAACCUCCAGUUCGGCAACAGCGUUCAACUCGUAUACAGGACAGCUCGCGGUGACGGUACAGGAAAACGGUAGCGCGGCGAAAUGGACAGACGACGGUAGUUCCGUGACGACAGGAGCCGGUGGUGGAGGCGGAGGCGGCGGUGGUGGUAGCGUCGGAGGCCGAUGCCUACAGGCAAAGCAGCAGCGCGAGUCCACGCGGGGUUGUGACCGGCGGUGGUUAUUGCGGAAGUUCGGCCAGCACGCCUCACAGUCACAGCACGAACGGAAGUUACUCGGUAGCCAAUCCGUACACCGGUAGUCCAACCCUUUACACAUCGCUUGGUAUGUUGCAGGACUAGGAGAGGUGGUCGGUUCACCGUUCAACGUGAAUCCAUUUAUGUUGCCGACCUGCAGCCAAGGAUAUUCAAACGCCGCCAGUCCGUUGCUCUCGUCGAAUGGGAAAUAGUGUUACGAGAUGUAAGCUCCGGCGAAAAUAUCGAGGGGUUACGUGUUCACGGAAGCGAAAUCCAUCGACGCGGAGGCUUUCGUCGAAUUCUAAUAUUCCGAUAAUCAUCGUAUUCGCGAUUGACAAUCGCUUUCUUGAAUCGAAACCGGUCCUCUCGAUUCGUUCCUUUUCCUUUUUCCCCUCCCCCUCCCGGUUCCCGCGUAACCGAAGAAGAAACGGCCGCGGAGAAACCGUCCGCGGAAUAAUUUUCGUCGGAGUUUCGNNCGCUUCAGUUUGCGAGAGUACAGUGCAAAAAAAAAAAAAGAAAAAAGAAAAAAGUAAUAAUAAAAAAAAAAAGAUCGAUAACGUAUCAUCAUUAUCACGAUGAUCGAAUAAGUUAAGGAAUGAUACAUAUCGAAGCACAUAGGAGAGUUUUCUUCAUCCAUUGACAUAGUCGUUCGGUUCGUUUAUAGAUAUGUGUAACUUUUGGAA